rnacentral:rRNA from 1 species
GACGGGGGAUGCGAGCGUUAUCCGGAAUGAUUGGGCGUAAAGGGUCCGCAGGUGGCCCGGUCAGUCCGCUGUCAAAGCCUGGGGCUCAACCCUGGAGAGGCGGCGGGGACCACCGGGCUUGAGUCCGGUAGGGGCAGAGGGAAUUCCAGGUGUAGCGGUGAAAUGCGUAGAUAUCAGGAGGAACACCGGUGGCGAAGGCGGGUCUCUGGGCAGUAACUGACGCUGAGGAGCGAAAGCGUGGGGAGCGAACAGG